AUAUUAAUAAGCGGAGGAAAAGAAACUAACAAGGAUUCCCCGAGUAACGGCGAGUGAAGCGGGAAGAGCUCAGGCUGAAAUCUUCGGAGAUGUAGUCUGCAGAAGUGAAGGUCGGGCUAAGAGUCUGCAUAGAAGUUGUCUGGGAUGACACGCCAAGGAGGGUGAUAGCCCCGUUCAUUAUGCAGAGUUCUCUGGCAGCACCUCGCUUCGAAGAGUCGAGUUGUUUGGGAUUGCAGCUCUAAUAGGAGGUAAAUCCCUUCUAAAGCUAAAUAUGGAUGGGAGACCGAUAGCGCACAAGUA
rnacentral:rRNA from 1 species